GGCUCAGGACGAACGCUGGCGGCGUGCCUAAUACAUGCAAGUGGAACGCAUUUUAAUCACCGUAGCUUGCUACAUCGAUUAAAAUGAGUCGCGAACGGGUGAGUAACGCGUAGGUAACCUACCUUCUAGCGGGGGACAACUAUUGGAAACGAUAGCUAAUACCGCAUAAGACAUUUUAUCGCAUGAUAGGAUGUUAAAAGAUACAACUGUAUCACUAGGAGAUGGACCUGCGUUGUAUUAGCUAGUUGGUGAGGUAACGGCUCACCAAGGCGACGAUACAUAGCCGACCUGAGAGGGUGAUCGGCCACACUGGGACUGAGACACGGCCCAGACUCCUACGGGAGGCAGCAGUAGGGAAUCUUCGGCAAUGGGGGCAACCCUGACCGAGCAACGCCGCGUGAGUGAAGAAGGUUUUCGGAUCGUAAAGCUCUGUUGUAAGCGAAGAAGAGUGUUAGGAGUGGAAAGUCUAACACAUGACGGUAGCUUACCAGAAAGGGACGGCUAACUACGUGCCAGCAGCCGCGGUAAUACGUAGGUCUCGAGCGUUGUCCGGAUUUAUUGGGCGUAAAGCGAGCGCAGGCGGUUAGAUAAGUCAGAAGUUAAAGGCUGUGGCUCAACCAUAGUACGCUUUUGAAACUGUUUAACUUGAGUGCAGAAGGGGAGAGUGGAAUUCCAUGUGUAGCGGUGAAAUGCGUAGAUAUAUGGAGGAACACCGGUGGCGAAAGCGGCUCUCUGGUCUGUCACUGACGCUGAGGCUCGAAAGCGUGGGUAGCGAACAGGAUUAGAUACCCUGGUAGUCCACGCCGUAAACGAUGAGUGCUAGGUGUUAGACCCUUUCCGGGGUUUAGUGCCGUAGCUAACGCAUUAAGCACUCCGCCUGGGGAGUACGACCGCAAGGUUGAAACUCAAAGGAAUUGACGGGGGCCCGCACAAGCGGUGGAGCAUGUGGUUUAAUUCGAAGCAACGCGAAGAACCUUACCAGGUCUUGACAUCCCUCUGACCAGUCUAGAGAUAGACUUUCCCUUCGGGGCAGAGGUGACAGGUGGUGCAUGGUUGUCGUCAGCUCGUGUCGUGAGAUGUUGGGUUAAGUCCCGCAACGAGCGCAACCCUUAUUGUUAGUUGCCAUCAUUAAGUUGGGCACUCUAGCGAGACUGCCGGUAAUAAACCGGAGGAAGGUGGGGAUGACGUCAAAUCAUCAUGCCCCUUAUGACCUGGGCUACACACGUGCUACAAUGGUUGGUACAACGAGUUGCAAGCCGGUGACGGCAAGCUAAUCUCUUAAAGCCAAUCUCAGUUCGGAUUGUAGGCUGCAACUCGCCUACAUGAAGUCGGAAUCGCUAGUAAUCGCGGAUCAGCACGCCGCGGUGAAUACGUUCCCGGGCCUUGUACACACCGCCCGUCACACCACGAGAGUUUGUAACACCCGAAGUCGGUGAGGUAACCUUUUAGGAGCCAGCCGCCGAAGGUGGGAUAGAUGAUUGGGGUGAAGUCGUAACAAGGUAGCCGUAUCGGAAGGUGCGGCUGGAUCACCUCCUUU
rnacentral:rRNA from 1 species